UGGUAAAGAUGUUUAUUUCCUUGCUGCUA
rnacentral:piRNA from 1 species